rnacentral:rRNA from 1 species
GACGAACGCUGGCGGCGUGCUUAACACAUGCAAGUCGAACGGAAAGGCCCUGCUUUUGUGGGGUGCUCGAGUGGCGAACGGGUGAGUAACACGUGAGUAACCUGCCCUUGACUUUGGGAUAACUUCAGGAAACUGGGGCUAAUACCGGAUAGGAGCUCCUGCUGCAUGGUGGGGGUUGGAAAGUUUCGGCGGUUGGGGAUGGACUCGCGGCUUAUCAGCUUGUUGGUGGGGUAGUGGCUUACCAAGGCUUUGACGGGUAGCCGGCCUGAGAGGGUGACCGGCCACAUUGGGACUGAGAUACGGCCCAGACUCUUACGGGAGGCGGCAGUGGGGAAUAUUGCACAAUGGGCGGAAGCCUGAUGCAGCAACGCCGCGUGCGGGAUGACGGCCUUCGGGUUGUAAACCGCUUUCGCCUGUGACGAAGCGUGAGUGACGGUAAUGGGUAAAGAAGCACCGGCUAACUACGUG